rnacentral:lncRNA from 1 species
AAGAAGAUGAUGAUGUGGAUAAUUCUCAAAAAAUUUGUUGUGUAGCCGCUGAGUUAGAAACAGUACAAUAUUAGUAAUGAUAUUAAUGACAGAGGAAGUUCUUUAAAAGGUUGGGUCGAGGAUAAUUUAUGGGCUCAAGGAGGGUAGAGGUAAGAGCAGGUGGAGAAUUGGAGUUAACCAUAGUUUGGAGGAAGUCGUAAAACCAACGUUGGUCUUAUUGAAGUUGUUGAUUUUAAUUUUAUGGGUUGUGUGGGUGAUUUGAGAAUGAAAUGUUUGGUCUUAAACGACGCACCUGGGCUUGAUGUUAUUGAAGGUGAUAAGCCCGGCAGGAUGGGAAAUGAGCCGAGACUGUGGUCAAAAUAUUAAUGUUUAGGGUUUUGGGGGGGGGGGGUUAAGGUUCUCUCUGUUCAUUGAAGUUUUGACUCUGGCUGUAGUCAAGGUUUUGUUUGACUUGGUUAAUAAUGUUGGAAGAGUUUGGGCGUAUACAAUCGAGAAAAGAAGACGUUUCUGUCUUGAUUGAUUGGGGAACAGAUAUCUAGAUCUGUUUUCCUGCCAUAUCUGGUUUUUUGUUUAUCUCCAACCCAAUCUUUGUGGUAAUUUUGGUUUUGGACUCGCACACCA